UCAAUCUCGUGCGGCUAGAAGCCGCCUGUCCCUCUAAGAAGAGUUGUUUGUACGCCGACAGUAAAAACCGCGCGCGGCGCGCGACGCGAGCGCCGGGCCGGCGGGCCUUUGAGAUGUCGGAAAUACGCCUAGUUAGCAGGCUAGAGUCUCGUUCGUUAU
rnacentral:rRNA from 1 species